rnacentral:rRNA from 1 species
AUUGAACGCUGGCGGCAUGCCUUACACAUGCAAGUCGAACGGCAGCACGGGAGCGAUCCUGGUGGCGAGUGGCGAACGGGUGAGUAAUGUAUCGGAACGUGCCCAGUCGUGGGGGAUAACGUAGCGAAAGCUACGCUAAUACCGCAUACGAUCUAUGGAUGAAAGCGGGGGAUCGCAAGACCCCGCGCGAUUGGAGCGGGCGAUAUCAGAUUAGGUAGUUGGUGGGGUAAAGGCUCACCAAGCCGACGAUCUGUAGCUGGUCUGAGAGGACGACCAGCCACACUGGGACUGAGACACGGCCCAGACUCCUACGGGAGGCAGCAGUGGGGAAUUUUGGACAAUGGGCGCAAGCCUGAUCCAGCAAUGCCGCGUGCAGGAUGAAGGCCUUCGGGUUGUAAACUGCUUUUGUACGGAACGAAACGGCGAGCUCUAAUACAGUUUGCUAAUGACGGUACCGUAAGAAUAAGCACCGGCUAACUACGUGCCAGCCGCCGCCGUAA